rnacentral:SRP_RNA from 1 species
CGCAAUCCGCUAUAGCGGGGUCGAAUCCCUGCUUGAGGCCUUUGUCUGGUAAGACUACUUGGGCUAAGCGGUGUUGAAGGCUGGGUCCUGCGCGGCGGAGCUCUAUGAAUCCCGUCAGGUCUGAGAGGAAGCAGCGGUAAGUAGAAGCCCCGGGUGCCGUAGGGCUACCUGGUUGGAGCUGGCUGGCGUUAAGCAAGCUACUAGGCGGGGUCGAGGGCAGGUGCACGG